rnacentral:rRNA from 1 species
GUAAGGAAUAUUGGACAAUGGGGGAAACCCUGAUCCAGCCAUGCCGCGUGAGUGAAGAAGGCCUUCGGGUUGUAAAGCUCUUUCAGAUGUGAAGAUGAUGACGGUAACAUCAGAAGAAGCUCCGGCUAACUUCGUGCCAGCAGCCGCGGUAAUACGAAGGGAGCGAGCGUUGUUCGGAAUCACUGGGCGUAAAGAGUGCGUAGGCGGUUAUACAAGUCAGGAGUGAAAUCCAAGGGCUCAACCCUGGAAUUGCUUUUGAAACUGUAUAGCUAGAGUCCCGGAGGGGUUAAUGGAAUUCCGAGUGUAGAGGUGAAAUUCGCAGAUAUUCGGAGGAACACCAGUGGCGAAGGCGAUUAACUGGACGGGCACUGACGCUGAGGCACGAAAGCGUGGGGAUCAAACAGGAUUAGAUACCCCUAGUAGUCC